rnacentral:ncRNA from 1 species
ACCAUCCUUUUCUUGGAGUUGUGCUCCUGUCCAAUGAGCAGGCAGUGAGGGCAGCACUGCUAACACCUACACAACAUGCUCACAUCAACUGGAGCUUUGCUUUACCUUGGUGCAAUUUUUGUAAAA